GACGAACGCUGGCGGCGCGCCUAACACAUGCAAGUCGAACGAGCGAGAGAGAGCUUGCUUUCUCGAGCGAGUGGCGAACGGGUGAGUAACGCGUGAGGAACCUGCCUCAAAGAGGGGGACAACAGUUGGAAACGACUGCUAAUACCGCAUAAAACUAUCGGGGGGCAUCCCUUGGUAGUCAAAGAUUUAUCGCUCUGAGAUGGCCUCGCGUCUGAUUAGCUAGUUGGCGGGGUAACGGCCCACCAAGGCGACGAUCAGUAGCCGGACUGAGAGGUUGGCCGGCCACAUUGGGACUGAGACACGGCCCAG
rnacentral:rRNA from 1 species